rnacentral:rRNA from 1 species
GGUUAAGCGACCAAGCGUACACGGUGGAUGCCCUGGCAGUCAGAGGCGAUGAAGGACGUGCUAAUCUGCGAAAAGCGCCGGUAAGGUGAUAUGAACCGUUAUAACCGGCGAUGUCCGAAUGGGGAAACCCAGUGUGACUCGUCACACUAUCAUUAACUGAAUCCAUAGGUUAAUGAGGCGAACCGGGGGAACUGAAACAUCUAAGUACCCCGAGGAAAAGAAAUCAACCGAGAUUCCCCCAGUAGCGGCGAGCGAACGGGGAGGAGCCCAGAGCCUGAAUCAGCAUGUGUGUUAGUGGAAGCGUCUGGAAAGGCGCGCGAUACAGGGUGACAGCCCCGUACACAAAAGCGCAUGUGCUGUGAGCUCGAUGAGUAGGGCGGGACACGUGGUAUCCUGUCUGAAUAUGGGGGGACCAUCCUCCAAGGCUAAAUACUCCUGACUGACCGAUAGUGAACCAGUACCGUGAGGGAAAGGCGAAAAGAAUCCCGGCGAGGGGAGUGAAACAGAACCUGAAACCGUGUACGUACAAGCAGUGGGAGCCCCACCACUAAGCCAGUGGUGAACUCCACAUACGCAUCCUUUGCGGAAGGUGCGGUUAACGGAGCGCAAGCGACGUUCAACCUCAAAAAAAGCAGAGGGGGCUUAGUGGUGGGGUGACUGCGUACCUUUUGUAUAAUGGGUCAGCGACUUAUAUUCUGUAGCAAGGUUAACCGCAUAGGGGAGCCGAAGGGAAACCGAGUCUUAAUUGGGCGUUAAGUUGCAGGGUAUAGACCCGAAACCCGGUGAUCUAGCCAUGGGCAGGUUGAAGGUUGGGUAACACUAACUGGAGGACCGAACCGACUAAUGUUGAAAAAUUAGCGGAUGACCUGUGGCUGGGGGUGAAAGGCCAAUCAAACCGGGAGAUAGCUGGUUCUCCCCGAAAGCUAUUUAGGUAGCGCCUCGUGAAUUCAUCUCCGGGGGUAGAGCACUGUUUCGGCUAGGGGGCCAUCCCGGCUUACCAACCCGAUGCAAACUGCGAAUACCGGAGAAUGUUAUCACGGGAGACACACGGCGGGUGCUAACGUCCGUCGUGAAGAGGGAAACAACCCAGACCGCCAGCUAAGGUCCCAAAGUCAUGGUUAAGUGGGAAACGAUGUGGGAAGGCCCAGACAGCCAGGAUGUUGGCUUAGAAGCAGCCAUCAUUUAAAGAAAGCGUAAUAGCUCACUGGUCGAGUCGGCCUGCGCGGAAGAUGUAACGGGGCUAAACCAUGCACCGAAGCUGCGGCAGCGACACUUUAGUGUUGUUGGGUAGGGGAGCGUUCUGUAAGCCGUUGAAGGUGUCCUGUGAGGGGUGCUGG